UACGUAGGGCGCGAGCAUUGUCCGGAAUUAUUGGGCGUAAAGCGCUCGCAGGUGGUCCGAUGCGUCGUGCGUGAAAGACCCCGGCUCAACUGGGGAGUGUCGUGCGAUACGGUCGGACUGGAGGCCAGUAGGGGGAUGCGGAAUUCCGGGUGUAGUGGUGGAAUGCGUAGAGAUCCGGAGGAACACCAGCGGCGAAGGCGGCAUCCUGGACUGGUCCUGACACUCAGGAGCGAAAGCGUGGGGAGCGAUCCGG
rnacentral:rRNA from 1 species